ACUGUUCAAUGCGAAAGUUAUAAUGUUGAUAUUGUUUAUCAUUUAUUAUUCUGUUCAGUUUAGUUUCAAUCUUGAAGCGAAGUAGACAAGUGCUCUGUGGAUAGUUUUGUGAAAUAAUAAAUUUUGUUUUUUUUAUUUGCUUAAAAAUGUUUGGGAUCCGAAACUCAAAAUAACAAUGAAUCGCUCAAUUCAUUAAUAUGGACUUUUGCUCCCAAGCAUAUUCACGCUGGAUCUCAAACAAUUCAAAUUGCGAAUUAUUUAGCUGUUGCCAUUUUUAAUGAAGGUUAUUUACCCAUCUUAAAAAUGAUGGAACUUAUGGGCAUCACCGUUGGUACUAAAGCUCAUUCAUUUGCUAUCAGACGUAACGAAGUUCGGAUUGAGCGCUCUGAGCUACGAGCUACUGCUGCUUCCAAAGAAGGCAGAACAGCUCGAUUAGCUGAAAGAACUUCACAAAACAUCGAAUAUGAAGUUGAGGAAGGCCCAAUGUAUGGAUCUGGAAUCGCCGAUUAAUCCAAAAUCACUACAAGGGCUGGAAUCAUGUCAACCAGGGUGCACCGUUUUUUUUGUAGCCCCCACUUCACCGACCUGUAAUUUGUCCAAUUUAUCAUUUUUUUUUUUUUCAAUUUUUUUUUAUAUUCUUGAAACGUUAAUAAACAUCAUAUACAAAAACCGA